rnacentral:tRNA from 1 species
GCCGGGGUAGCCUAGCCUGGUUUGGGCGCCAGACUCAUAAUCUGGAGGUCGCGAGUUCGAAUCCCGCCCCCGGCACCA